rnacentral:rRNA from 1 species
GUGGGGAAUUUUGGACAAUGGGCGCAAGCCUGAUCCAGCAAUGCCGCGUGCAGGAAGAAGGCCUUCGGGUUGUAAACUGCUUUUGUACGGAACGAAAAGGCUCUGGUUAAUACCUGGGGCUCAUGACGGUACCGUAAGAAUAAGCACCGGCUAACUACGUGCCAGCAGCCGCGGUAAUACGUAGGGUGCAAGCGUUAAUCGGAAUUACUGGGCGUAAAGCGUGCGCAGGCGGUUUUGUAAGACAGAGGUGAAAUCCCCGGGCUCAACCUGGGAAUUGCAUUUGUGACUGCAAGGCUGGAGUGCGGCAGAGGGGGAUGGAAUUCCGCGUGUAGCAGUGAAAUGCGUAGAUAUGCGGAGGAACACCGAUGGCGAAGGCAAUCCCCUGGGCCUGCACUGACGCUCAUGCACGAAAGCGUGGGGAGCAAACAGGAUUAGAAACCCUGGUAGUCC